rnacentral:lncRNA from 1 species
AACCUUUCACUACAAAAUGAAAGCCAGAAUUUUGUGGUUUAGGAUUGGCUCUUACAUGCCGUGAAAACUCAUGUAGGAGGUUGGCUUAUCUUACUACAGCAGCUUUGAGUAGGAAGAAUUAGCCAAAAGUGAAUCAAAAAGGGCGAUGUGAUGUGGAUGAAAGGGCCCUUAACUUUUUUUGCUAAAUUCACCAAGGGCUCUAUGAUGUUCCAAAAGCAAUCUUUGCCUCAGCCCUGGCGUUUCUCUUCUUGGCUGUCCAGAAGGAGGUUGUGCUUCUCCCUAGUGGAGGAACCUCUAACAUACCUGCAGUCAUCCAGUCCCAAAGCUCUAGGCAGCAAUGGACCACCAUUCCAUGGGUCCUCUACUGUAACACAGAUCUCCUGGAUGUGCAAGUGACAUUCUCCAUCUUCUUUUCACCUGGUGUGUGAAUAAUGGGGUGUGAAGAAAGAAAGCAAAAUAUUCUCAUGUCUGUCCUUAACAUCAUAGGAACCUGAUCUUUCUACUGGAAGAAGGAGUCUCUCCACAUAUCCACCACAGCUGGGAUUGUGCUGGGUCAUAUCUGAAGCUAGCACACAUCUAAGUCUCAUCCAAGGCCCACACCUGGUAAGAAAAAUCCACAUCGUGACACGGAAGAGAUGGAGGAAGAAGAGAAAACAAAAGGUCAGAGAUGUAGCCCUACAUAGCUGAUUUUAAAAGGAACUUAAAAUUUUACUUUGGCUAAAAUUGACCUCUCCUGUAAUUUAAUCCAAACCUCUAUUGCUUGUGUGUGGCCAAGUUCAGUAGUCUUUGGAGUCUCACUUCUCUAAUUAUCCAAAUGCAUUUGUUGAAGCCCCAUCCCCUGCCUCCUCCAAAUCCCUUAAUAGGUUUGAUUCUGCUCACUGCUCAUUGCUAUUUUCAUGGUGCCGCUGAAUUCCGCUCUCCUUCUCUGUUUCUAGCCUUUUCAACAUUGCUUUCUCCUCUCAUCCCUGGCAUGAAACACAGAUGCUGGUUAUUCAAUCUCUAAAGCACUGUUCUUUUAAGAAUAAACUUUUACUGAAGAAUGGGGGAUAAAAGAUGGAGCGUAAGCUCAGAACAGCACAGGGAGAAAAUGUACAAGUAAAACUAAGUUAUUUAGUUUAGAGCUUCUUGGUCAGACCCUCCUUAGUCCUGCUUGCCAAUUUGUGCUAGAUUAUUUUUUUCCUGGUGACUGUUUCCCGCACCUCUCCUCCCCAUUCAGGGACCCCAAAGCAUGUUCUUCAGUGACCAGGAAAAUAUUUUAUAUUCUUAAUACUUCAUUAUGGAGAAAAAUUUAUUUCAUUUUGUAUAACCACUGUGUGUUAGUUUCCCAUGGCUUCCUUAACAACUUACUACAAACUGGGUGGCUUAAAGCAACAGAAAUUUAUUUUUCUCAGUUUUGGAGGCCAGAAAUCUGAAAUCAAGGUGUCAGGAAGACCAUGCUCUUUUCAGAGGCUCUAGAGAAGAUUCAUUUUUCUGCCUCCCUCCAGCUUCUUGUGGCUCCAGGCGUUCUUUGAUUCUCCUUGGCUUGUGGCUGCAUCACUGAUUUCCGCUUCCGUGUUCAUGUGGCUCUUCUUCCGCGUGUCUUCUCCUUUCUCUUACAAGGACACUUCGUUGCAUUCAGGGCCCACUCAGGUAAUUCAGGAUGAUCUCAUGCCAAGACCCCUAAUCUAAUUACAUCUACAAAGAUCCCUUAUCCAAGUAAGGUCACCUUCACGGGUUCUGGGAAUUAGGAUUUAGGCAUAUCUUUUGGGGAGCCAUCAUUCAAUGCACGACAUAAUCUAAACAGACUCCAGUUUUCUCAGCUUUAACAGAGACAAUCAAUCAAAUAAGUUUUUGAUUUAAUUUAAAAAUAAAAACAGUAUUUCUGUCUCUCAGAAUAAUUCUGCAGCCCAGUUCUUAGAGCAAAUUACAGUUAGAUUUAAAAGAAUGCUUUUCUUCUCAUUUUAAAGAUUUCUCUUUAAAAAUUGUUAAAAUGACCUAACAUUUUAAAAGACGGAAAAGUAAUUGUAAUAUCAAAAACUUAACACAACUACAUAUUUAUACAAAUGCCUUUAUAAUCUUUGUGUAUAUGUGUGUAUAUAUACAUGUGAAUGUAUAAAUACAUACUUGUAAUCAUGAUGUACUUAACAACUGCAGAUUGUGUUUAAUCUUAGCAUAUUAAAUAAGUUUUUUCAAUGUUUUAACGUAUGUUUUAAUUUACCACUUUUUAAUUUUUUAAUCUUAAUGAUUUAAGAAAGUAUUAGUCAUUGUAGAAAAUACAAAUAAACUAAAAGAAAAAUGAAUCACCUGAAAUUCUUUUAAAAAAGAAAGCCAAUCUGGAGACACAUACAUCUGUUUUGUUUUGUUUUGUUUUGUUUUUUGAGACGGAGUCUCGCUCUGUGGCCAGCCGGGAGUGCAGUGGAGCGAUCUCAGCUAACUGCAGGCUCCCUCUCCUGGGUUCAAGUGAUUCUCUUGCUUCAGCCUCUUGAGUAGCUGGUAUUACAGGCAUGCGGCCCCACACCCAGAUAAUUUUUGUAUUUUUAGUAGAGACGGGGUUUCACCAUGUUGGCCAGGAUGGUCUCAAUCUCCUGACCUUGUGAUCCACCUGCCUCGGCCUCCCAAAGUACUGGGAUUACAGGCGUGAGCCACUGCACCCAGCCUCUGUAUUUUUUAAUUUAAUUAUAUCUUCAUGUUUGUAUGAAUCUAUAUCUGUAGCUGUAUCUACAUUUAUUUAGUUUUGGCUAUAACCCCAUUUCAGGAACUAGUUGACUAAAAAAUAAACUUCUAUUGUUUUUGAAUUAUUACAUAUUUUGUGGUCUUUUAAAAAGUACUGCAACCUCCUCUAUGAAUGAAUACACUUGUUUUUAUAAGUUUUGAAACAUAUUGUUGAAUGACAUUUCUCAAAGCCUAAGCACAGAUGAUAAUCCCUACUGCUUCUUAACCAAGAUUAUAAUGACAAUCUUAGAAUCAAAUGUUAUCAAUUUUAAUAUUUAUUAGAGAAUGUCUGACAACACUUUCUAGAGAUUCUCUUAUUUUAUCAUGUUGCCAAUUUUCCUAAAAAGUGUUAAGUGAGAUUGUUAAGGCUACAAUGGAUGCAAAUAAUGUUAAUACUAUAAUGAAUGCAAAAUUAUUAAUUUAACCAUUCUUCCAUCAUUAAACCUUGUAUAUAUUUCUAAUUUUUUAUUGUUAUGUUUAUACAUAUUGAUUUCUCUGCAGCUAAAUUAUUCAGUUACAUAAAUUUCCCAGAAAUGUGGGUAUUCAGGGAAAUUGUGGAAAUAAAUCUAGUCUUCAUACAGAUUGCAGUUUGCCUUUUAUAAGGGUUAUAUGAAGACAGUUUCAUCAGAGUAUAAGAGUAAACCGGUUUUACCUCAAGUUCAUUAUCAUUGUUGUAUUUUGAUAUUAACAUCAGUAUUUUUAAUAUAAAAGUAAUAGAAUUCCACCAUAAGAUUAGUUUAAUUGCAUUGCUUCUGUCUCAGAAUUGAAGUUUAUAUAAGUUCCUAAAUAGCUUUAAACUCAUUUAAUGUAAUUUAUUUUUGUCUACUUAUUUUUGGG